rnacentral:tRNA from 1 species
AAAAAAUUAGUUAAUUAAUAACAUUAGUAUGUCAAACUAAAAUUAUCAUUUUAUUGAUAUUUUUUG